AGAGUUUGAUCCUGGCUCAGAAUCAACGCUGGCGGCGCGCCUAACACAUGCAAGUCGAACGAGAAAGUGGAGCAAUCCAUGAGUACAGUGGCGUACGGGUGAGUAACACGUGGGUAAUCUACCUUUUAGUGAGGAAUAACCAAGGGAAACUUUGGCUAAUACCGCAUAAGCCUGAGAAGGGAAAGUCGCAAGACGCUGAAAGAGGAGCCCGCGGCCGAUUAGCUAGUUGGUGGGGUAAGAGCCCACCAAGGCAGAGAUCGGUAGCCGGCCUGAGAGGGCACACGGCCACACUGGCACUGAAACACGGGCCAGACUCCUACGGGAGGCAGCAGUGGGGAAUCUUGCACAAUGGGGGAAACCCUGAUGCAGCGACGCCGCGUGAGCGAUGAAGCCCUUCGGGGUGUAAAGCUCUUUCGUCAGGGAAGAUAGUGACGGUACCUGGAGAAGCAGCUGCGGCUAACUACGUGCCAGCAGCCGCGGUAAUACGUAGGCAGCAAGCGUUGUUCGGAGUUACUGGGCGUAAAGGGUGUGUAGGCGGUUCUUUAAGUUUGAUGUGAAAUCUCCCGGCUUAACCGGGAGGGUGCGCCGAAUACUGAGGGACUAGAGUACGGGAGAGGAAAGUGGAAUUCCUGGUGUAGCGGUGAAAUGCGUAGAUAUCAGGAGGAACACCGGUGGUGUAGACGGCUUUCUGGACCGUAACUGACGCUGAUACACGAAAGCGUGGGUAGCAAACAGGAUUAGAUACCCUGGUAGUCCACGCCCUAAACGAUGCAUAUUUGGUGUGGGCAGUUCAUUCUGUCCGUGCCGGAGCUAACGCGUUAAAUAUGCCGCCUGGGGAGUACAGUCGCAAGGCUGAAACUCAAAGGAAUUGACGGGGCCCGCACAAGCGGUGGAGCAUGUGGUUCAAUUCGACGCA
rnacentral:rRNA from 1 species